UGCCAAAGGUGGAGCACCGCGCUUGGAAAGCCAUCCACACAGGACACCUUAGACACAGUUUGUCCACAAAGUUCUGUAGUACCAAAGCAGGCUCCCCCAGGUGGCCAGGACUCCAUGUGCAAAACUGGCACUGCACCACUGUCCAUAUAGGCUCAAGGAGCCAAGUUCCCAAUUGCAUGUCCCUGCAGCAGCCGGAGUGCCCUACCUUCUCCAAGGCCACUUGCCCUACAAAUACUCAGCUGACUUGUAUACCUCUGGAGCUGAGCAGGCUUUCUUGGUGGACAGCUUCCAUUUCCAGGGCAGGAGGGGUAGAAAAGAAGGCAAUAUGAAGUUAAGGCCCUGUGAGUAGUCUAGGUCCUUAGCAGCAGCAGCUUUUCCAAAAACAUGCAUUCUGCCCCCAAGGAAACAGAAAGUGGUGCCUGCUGACUCUUCUUCGUCCCCUGGUGGCCUAAGAACAGCUACAUCAUCAGCUAGAAGACUGGUAGCCUUGGGGAUGUAGUCAGCGUGCAAGCAUUGAUGUCCUCAGUGUGAGCUGCCCGAUGCAGGGAAGGCUCAGAGGCGCUCCUGUUGAUUUUCGGCAGAGAGUGCUGAAGCAGCUCGAUGGAAGACAGGAUCUGAAACAAGGCCCCACGUGGUCUCAUUAGUUGGAAACUUGGUAUCUCCCCAACCAUACCAAGAGCUUGUGGAGGUCCUCUCUCCACCGACCCAAUCCUGGCCCACAUUUACAUCCUUAGAAUGUUAUAUUUCAACUGAGCUCUCUAACCUGGGGAAACAAAGGUCUCUCUUCUUUGACUUUCUUCACACAGUCAGCCACCAACCUCUUCAUUGCCUUGGGGCAGUUCUUGUAGAGCCUGCUGAGAUCAGGGGAUGCAUACCCACGGCCUACCAUGAAGAUGAUCUAAAGAAGAAACAGUUGAACAAAGGAGUCUGUGAAGGAGAGUCCCAGGACUAAGUAGCCCCUCACUGUGUCGCCCGGCCAUGCAGAUCACCUGGUCUCGGUUGUUGAUGUGGGCGUAGGGAAGCUCCCCAGCCAUCAGCUCGUACAGCACGAUGCCGUACGAGUACACGUCGGACUGGAAGCUGAACGGGUUGUCAUCCUGCAUCCGGAUUACUUCUGGGGCCUGUAAGGAUGAAGUGUGUUAAUCCCUAGGGAAUGACCUCCAGAGACAUUGAGGAACCAGGCUAUUUUAACUAGUCAGGAAGGAAGUUCAAGUCCUUAGCCCAGGGUAGCUCCUCCCACAAAACCCCACAGGCGCUGGCCUCUGUUGCUUUGCCAGGAUAUGCGGUUUUGCCUUAAGCUAACUGACACCACAGAUCAACCAGACCCCCAUGGCUGUGCAGAAAUGCUGUCAAAUUUUGCACCCUACUCUGGCCCAGUAAUUCCAUCAUGUUGUGUGGGGCCAGCUUCCUCACCAUCCACAGCACAGAGCCAGUGGGCUGUUCAACCUGCUGAGAACCACUCCAGCGUGACUUCACUGUUGCCAAACCAAAAUCUCCAAUUUUCACCGUGAGGCCUUCAUGGAGAAAUAUAUCUCGAUGCUUGUUAAGGAGACUGACAGUUUAUACUGUUUAUAACAGUGCUUCUGGCCUCCUUCACUUCACUACUAAAUCUUUCAGGAGACAGGGAACGAUGGCAUGCGCACACUCAAUUACAGGGCCCCACACUGCUUAUCCCCUCUGCCUACAUUUGGUACUCAGGUUUACCACCCAACUGGUCUACAUUGUGACUUCUGUCAGCUUACUGCUAGGUAACAGGCAAUUUUGGUCUGAUUUGUGACCUGCUGAUUUAUUGGAAUUCAAGCCUUAAAUCUUGGCCCAGUGCUUAGCUGCCGAAAAAGAAUGACCUCAAGAAAGGAGGUCAUGGCCACCGAAUAAGCAUAGCUCAUUGGCCAUGCAGAACAGCUGAGUUUAACCACCCUGCCAUGUGCCAUCUUACAGCAUGAAAGGUGCAGUUGGUAAGGAGAUGCUAUUUCUAACAGUGGCCUCUAGGCUGACUUCUGUACAUUUAACAGAAAGUAGCCAUUUUGAAAUUUCUGGAAUUCUGGGAUACUGGUUCUAAGAUGCUAAUUCCAGGAGACCUUAAGAAAUAUUGUGUCCUUUGAGUUAAAAAUAGGAGGUCAGGUGAUUAGUGGAAUUUUGGUUGAAGUCUGACUCACAAUAGUUACAGUGGGCCUUCAAACUGUUUCCCCUGGGAAAAGCUAAAUGGAAGCCUUUAGCAGGGUCUCUGCCAGGGAUGGGAACCAAAAGUGUCACAUCCCUGGCAGAAUUGCAGCAAUCAGUGCUACCAUCAAAGACUUGAAAGAUGCAGGGGUGGUGAUUCAUGGCCAGUACAGAAGACAGAUGGACUGUAAAAAGUGACAGGCUAUACCAGAUGUGGUGUCCUUACUUGAGCAAUUAGCAUACUUCCUGAUAUACGAUGUGUAGCUACUGACCUAGCAAAUGCCUUUUUCUUUGGUAUCUGUCCAUAAGGACCACCAGAAGCAAUUGCUUUUGAUUAGAAAGAUCAACAGUAAACCUUUAACUCUCCAGCCUUGUGUCAUAACUUAGUUUGAAGGGAUCUUGUUCAUGUCUCUUCUACAAAAUAUCACAUUGGUCUACUAUAUGGCUGACAUUAUGCUGGUCUGAAAAGUGAGCAGGAGGCAGCAAUCACUUAUGACUUGUUGGUAUUAGAUACAUGCAUCAGAUACUUUCCCAUCUGUAUGCAGGCUUACACCUUCCAUAGGCUCAAUAGAAAUAGAUGCAAUAACCUUCUCAAGCUAUAUUCUGGAUAAUCUAACCAGGCUGAGUUCAAGUCUAUUUCAAGUGUGUAUCGCCUCAGAAGGAAUUAUUUCCAGAUCACUGUUGGUUAAAAAAAAUAAUAAUAAAACCUUAAGGAACUCUCAUGAUC
rnacentral:lncRNA from 1 species